UUCGGGUUGUAAACCUCUUUCAGUAGGGAAGAAGCGAAAGUGACGGUACCUGCAGAAGAAGCGCCGGCUAACUACGUGCCAGCAGCCGCGGUAAUACGUAGGGCGCAAGCGUUAUCCGGAAUUAUUGGGCGUAAAGAGCUCGUAGGCGGUUUGUCGCGUCUGCCGUGAAAGUCCGGGGCUCAACUCCGGAUCUGCGGUGGGUACGGGCAGACUAGAGUGAUGUAGGGGAGACUGGAAUUCCUGGUGUAGCGGUGAAAUGCGCAGAUAUCAGGAGGAACACCGAUGGCGAAGGCAGGUCUCUGGGCAUUAACUGACGCUGAGGAGCGAAAGCAUGGGGAGCGAACAGGAUUAGAUACCCUGGUAGUCCAUGCCGUAAACGUUGGGCACUAGGUGUGGGGGACAUUCCACGUUUUCCGCGCCGUAUCUAACGCAUUAAGUGCCCCGCCUGGGGAGUACGGCCGCAAGGCUAAAA
rnacentral:rRNA from 1 species